AACAGAAAUGGAAAAUCACCUGUUUCUUUCCACAAGUAAAUACUGUAGUUCAAUUAACACUUACAGCUUAAAUAUGGACUAUUUGUUUCUAUGUUUACAUUCACUCAGCAACUUUGAGUUUUCAUUUGUACUAUGUAUAGGUUCUCUAAGAUCACCACAGUGAGAAGAUUGUGGGCCAAGGCAGUGCGGCGCAAGGACUGAAAACCAACAGAUCAUGGCAAAAUAUGUUCUGAUCAUUUCUCAAAAGUGGAUAUUGACCAAACUCCAUUGUCACGCAUUCGGACAAGAGCUGGUGCAGUACCGUGCAUUUUCUCAUCAUUCCCUUCACACUUGCAGAAUGUUCCUAAGCAAAGAUGUGUUUUGGAGAAACACACAACAGAAAUGAUGUCUGUGAGAUGUAAUAAAGAGGGUGGCCAGCCAUCAGGUUCCGAGAAGGUACUCCUUGAGUGGUGAGUGGCAGAUGGAGUUCAUCAACAGACAUCCCUACACAGAACAAGUGUUGCAUGUACAGAGUGUGAAGGAGGUCUUCCGAAUACUUUAUUCUAUGAAAAACCGUGAGAGAGAGACUACAGGGAAUAUGUAAAACAAAUUUAUGCAAAAAUUUUCUAUUUUCUGUUUUUCUGUUUCGUUAUGGACUUUUACACUGCUCAAGUGAGAUGGUGCGUGCGCGAGCGCGCACAGAUAUUGUUCAUCUAAAAUAAUAAUAAAAAAUAAUUUACUACAGUUUAAAGGAGAAUAAACUGCUAGAAUUAGUGCCACCUUUCAUUUGCUUAUUAAUAACCAUACUAUUUUAAUGAUACUCUUGUUAUAUUUGUGGGUAUGUGGCACAACAUUUGACUGAACUACCAAAGACGUGUUACUGAACUCCAGCCUAAGUAUGGAAGAUACUUAACAUCCUGAAAGCUUUGUCUUGCACUGUACUGAGUGGGAAGCUGACCGUAGGACACACAUCUGUACACACUGUUAAUUAGAAACAAAUCAGUAUACGGUACAUGUACGAUUGUGCCCUUUUAUCAUGGCCAAAUGUUCGGACUGUAUCCAAUCAGCAGCUACGCAUAUUUGUGGAGACUGUAUUAUAAUAACUUCCUAGGACCUUAAUACAUGCAAAUUUGGCAAUUCUUCACUCUUGAGACGACAGUUCUAUCUCGCCACAAAAUGUUGCGGAUCAGAUCCUCUAUUAAUUAUCCAUUACAAUGGAAAUGGUUAAAUUACAAAAUCUGUUGCGGAUUAUGUUUCAGUGGUCAAAUAAAUCAAAAUCUAAAGAACGAUGAUCGUACAGUAUGGCUAAAUCCAGGCACACCCGACAGCGCACCCUUAUAAUCAGUUUUGCAGAAGAUAUGUGGUCUCAAUCAGCAAUCGCUAGCUUCAGAAAUUUACUCUGCAGGAAAUUCAUUUUUUCAUGACCAAUUGGGA